rnacentral:rRNA from 1 species
GAUCAGCGAAGCUGCGGUGAAUACGUUCCCGGGCCUUGUACACACCGCCCGUCACGUCACCUGAGUUGCCUGCACCCGAAGUAGGUGGGUCAAGCGCCGUAAGGGUAGUCAUACGACACG